rnacentral:rRNA from 1 species
GAAAGCGUAAUAGCUCACUGGUCUAAAUAAGGGUCUUUGCGCCGAAGAUGUAACGGGGCUUAAGAUAUGUACCGAAGCUGUGGAUGUACACUUUUGUGUACGUGGUAGCGGAGCGUUCCGUAAGCUGAUGAAGCCAUCUGGUAAUGGGUGGUGGAGGUAUCGGAAGUGAGAAUGCUGACAUGAGUAGCGAUAAAGAGUGUGAGAAACACUCUCGCCGAAAGUCCAAGGGUUCCUGCGUAAAGCUAAUCUGCGCAGGGUUAGUCGGCCCCUAAGGCGAGGGCGAAAGCCGUAGUCGAUGGGAAACAGGUUAAUAUUCCUGUACCUGGAGGUAGUGACGAAUCCCGUGUGUUGUCCACCCUUAUUGGAUUGGGUGGGCCGCGAAGGGGUUCCAGGAAAUAGCUCCUCCAUUAUAGACCGUACCCCAAACCGACACAGGUGGUCUGGUAGAGUAUACCAAGGCGCUUGAGAGAACUAUGUUGAAGGAACUCGGCAAAAUGCUCCCGUAAGUUCGCGAGAAGGGAGACCUCCACUUAGGCAACUAGGUGGGGGUGGCACAGACCAGGGGGUGGCGACUGUUUACUAAAAACAUAGGGCUCUGCGAAGUCGCAAGACGACGUAUAGGG